GCAGAGAGGGGGGCAGGAGCAGGUAGGUGGAUUGGCUCUUUCUUUCAUUAGCUUAAAUUCAUUGCAUUCUAAUGAUAUUAGUCCUUUACGGUUGGAUUAUUUUUUCUAUAUUUAUUAUUUGCUUUAACCUUCAAUGGUGUUUCAAAUGUUAAGAAUCUUAAAGAAAAAGCGUUGUGCAGUUUCACAAUUUGGAGUACGAAGUGAAGCCUGUGCCACUUAGGGUGUCCUUUGGUCCACCCUGGAUCCUGGCAGAGCAUCCAUUUCCCUCCAGCGGCUGGUGAGAUGUCAGUGCUCUUGGCUGAGAAGCAGUUCCCUUGCAGGACCAACCCUCCAGGAUUCCAGUGGGCUGGGACCCCAACCAAUGAGUGUGUCUUUAUUUCUAUGAUGGUGGCUGGGCGAGCAACAUGCUCACCUGUCCAAGCACAAAGAGUGGACUAGGAGAUACGAGGGACAGCAGAAAGCAACACUUUACUUCAGUGAUGGUCUUGCAAGAUGGGAUGCCUGGUGGUCAGGGACCCCCAGAGUGUCCAACCAGAGUUUCAUUCCCUGGAGCGCAGGUCCCUUGCAGGGGACAUUGAAGUUAAGUUAUCGACAUUGACACUAUCUGAGUUGCUAAAAGGGAGGACUCAUUAUUAUGGGCAAUUUCCAUCUCAACAAGCUAGUAUGUCUAGGAUGCAGGGCAGGACCAAAGGACACAAGAACAAAGCGAAAGUGAGCCCCAAAGGUGUAAAGUGGGGUUGUGAGAACUAGAGGUCCAGUGGUCCAUAUUUGGAAUACAGCAUCCAGCCUUGACUGUGAUGUCACAUCAAGUCAAUGCCAUUUUAACUAAAGCCCCUCCCUUUCUUGCCCCAAUUAGAACUAGCCAGUUGUGUAGGUGUAGCCCUAGCUCCCCCAUCAGAGCAAGGGGCAGAGCGGUCUGGGGAUAGAGCAGGCACACUCUGCCCAGGUGUGAGCCAGGCCGGGAGCGCACCUUCUGCAGAAGCAGAGCCUGCUCUGCCCAGCCACUUCCCAGCCCAGGUGGGAUUCCUAGGGACACCAGGUGUUUCUAAUAGGAGAACACCCCGAGUCCUGCAUCCUGGUGCCACAGGGGAACAGGGAAACCCCACACCUCGGUUCUUGUGUUCCAAUGAAAGAAAAUUGAAAGUCAGACACCAAAAUCACGCAAGAGGACUGUAUCACAAGUGAAGGGGAGGGAAGGCCAAGGGAGCCCGCAGAGCCCCCUCAGGGAGAGGGCGGCUCACCUCUGAGCAGGGAAGACAGAGGGGGUCAAACUCAUCGUUUGCCUUGAGGACUGGGGCCCCCUUCAGCAAUCUUCCCUAAUCGGGAGUCCAACUCCUCCUCCGCCCCGGGCAGUGGAGAUUUUGACCCUAGUUGGUCCUCUCUGGAUCGGUGGUGGUGGCCAUCCUAUUCCAGGGGCUUCUCUACAAGUGAACCCAUGGUAAUGUCACCGGGGUCAGUCACUGGCCAGAAGUUACCACAGUGGACCAGUGCUACUAGAGGAACCUCCCUUCCCAACAAGUGGGGACUCUCGCCAGGAAUCCCCGCUUCACAGCAACCCCAGUGGACCCGCGAGAGUCAGGCCCCUGCACCUUUCCUCCUGGUGUGCUGUCCAGUUGGCUCCUUCGCUUCUGCUUGGCCGGCAAUGGCUAUUGUCCACUUUUAAAGAAGGUCAUUUGAAGAAGACUCUGAAGUCAUUUAAGUGACACCUGGGACCUACUCAAGUGUCUCAGUGCUCACUCCAGCUCCUUCCUCACACCUUGACCAGCUGCCUGGCCUGGAAUGGCACCAGUGUCCAGUGCUGCCCCUGGUGGCAAGUGUCCCUCCAUGCUUCCUGUUGGGCCCACUGUGGGGUCUUUGGAAGGGAGACUUCUCAGCUCUUCUUUUGGGGUCACCUCUCGACCUCCAAGUGGCCAACAGAGCCUCUCGUGGGGACCACUGCUUCUGUAGGUAUCAUGGGCAGCUUCUCUUCUGGGCAUCUUCGACUACUUGCUGUUUCUCCCAGGUUUCUGUGCUGAGCACUGUGGUUGGGGCUUUUCUUCUGGGCUGUGACCCAGUGACCCUGCACCUGUCCCCACAGUUUCCCAGACUGCCCCAGGCCAUGCCCGGCCUUGUAACCCUAAGGUGGUGCCAGGGUCAGCCUUGGGACCGGGCCCUGGGUCCAGGGAGAGUGACAGCUGUGCUACUGUGUGCUGUGUUGGGAGGGGCCAGCAGAGUCCUUUCUGGAGGAAUCCUGCUGGACCCCAGCCUCUGGCUAAGGGCCCUUGUCCUCAGUACUCCACGCAUUCCCAGCUUCUCACCUUCUGGAGCCAUAGGGGAGUUGCAUGUUUCUGGAACUGGGUGCCCUUGGAGGACCUUAAGGUGGGUAAAUAGAGGGUUGGAAAAGCCGGGUGCCAUUGGUGAUGACGACCUCACAGAAGUGACAAAGCUGGCCCUGGGAAGGCGCUGUCACCUCCGUGCAGUCCCUGGGCCUCAGCCAGUACCAGGGCAUAUGGCCUUGGACUCCAGGCUGAAUUCUGUACCUGCUGAGCUCCAGGGUCCCCAGCGGAGCCUCCGUGGCCCCCAAGGGCUGCCCUUGGUGCCCAUCCUGAUCCCAGGUGUCCAGGUGCUCAGGGCCCAGGGUGCAGAGGAUCAGCUGUGACUGCUAGCUUGAAAACGUAAUGCUUACUGUCCUUGAUGGAGUCUGCCUGCACACGGGAUGCUCUGUCAAGGUCUAGAUAAGGUGACAGCAAGCAGACUUGCACAGGAGAUGUUUGUUGUCUUUGAUGGGGCUUGCUCACAAACGAGAGGUUCCUUCAAUGUUUAGGUAGGUAACAGGGGACAGCUUGAAAACGAGGUGCCUGCUGUCCUUGGGAGGACUUGCUCACAAAUGGGAUGUUCUGCAAAGUGGGCUAGGAGGGCGCUGAGAAAGUUCUUAUCUGUUCUUAACAAAGAGCAGAGCUCAGCAUGCUCCGGGCCAAGAGUAGAUUGGCCAUGAGAAGCGGGUCCCCUUUGAUUAGAAAGUAGGACUUCUGUAUGCCAUGUUUAACCAGCUGAAAGACCUGAUCUAUUGCUGUUGGAAGGCUGCCUCCUUUGUUCACAAUACUAUAGAAGAUGCUGUAUUCAAUAAAGGAUGUUUUUUCCUCUGCUGCUUGGCUUCCUCUGCUCCUUCUUUCUUUCUCAUGCUGACCAGCGAGUGAGUUACUUACAACACAGCGUGCAGUGCAGCUGGUUAAAUAUGCCAAAAGAUGUGCCCAAGAU
rnacentral:lncRNA from 1 species